UUUCAUUCCGGAUGGGAGCGGAUGCCGCAGAACGGAGAUCCCCAUUUCUUCGGACAGCCGGAAAGGGC
rnacentral:sRNA from 1 species